rnacentral:snRNA from 1 species
AAGGCGCAAGGAAGCUGA